GCUUUUGAAUUACAACAUUCUGUAUCUGGCAACCAGCUCAUAAGGCCCUCACACACUGGAGAUGCAUGUUUUAUUCCUCUUUAUAUCUGCAAAAUAUCUAGCACAGGGUUACACAAAAAGUAACUGCUCAACAAAUGUGGCCAACUUGCUGCCCAAUUACUAGCUAAAAAGUAUUUAUAUGUACACUUGCCCCUCGAACAACAUUGGUUUGAACUGUGUGGGUCCACUUAGAUGAAGAGUUGUUUAAUACAGUUGGCCUUAACUGCAGUUUUCAUGGUUUUGAUAUGUAGUAUUCGAUAAUACAGUUUUUGCUGUGUGAUUGGUAGGAUCCAUGGAUGUGGGGGGCUGACUUUAGAGACAAAAGGUAUAUGUGAAUUUCCUACUGUUCAAGUAUCUGUACCACCAACCACCAUAUUGUUGAAGAGUCAAGUGUACAUAAAUAGAUCUUAUAUUCCCUAAGAUUAUCACAGAGACACUUGAUGUUCAGUUUUAUUUGAGUAUUAACUGCUUCUUUAUAAAUUCCCUUUCAUAGUUAUGAGCUUUUAAGUUGUGCCAGGCCUUCAUUAUUAGUAUGGCUUCCUUUGAUAGGAAAACCAGUUUGCAAGAUGAUCAGUCACAUUCAGUCAUACUAACCUCGUUUUUUGAACAACAGUCUCAUACAGGGUCAAAAUCCUCUUCAAAAAGGUAUUUCAUAAAGUAAAAAGGUAUUUGUUUUCAAACUUACUAAUUAUAUUCACUAAAUGCUGUUCAGGUUGUCAACUUUCCCCCACUGUGAGAAUUACAAAAAUCAGUCAUAACUUUAAACUCAGAAAAUGACUAAGCCAGUUGGGUUCAUUUAAAUCCUUUAGAGAAACAUUCUUUGUGGUAAACAAAGGAAGAUAUACAGCUAGUCCCAUUAAUCAACUCUUUUUUGUUUUUGGUCUGCUUCAGUGCUGAAAUUGUUUAUUGUCAACCCCGAUAUAUGGGGAACUCAU